rnacentral:rRNA from 1 species
UACGUAGGGUGCAAGCGUUUGUCCGGAAUUAUUGGGCGUAAAGAGCUCGUAGGCGGUUUUGUCGCGUCUGCUGUGAAAACCCGAGGCUCAACCUCGGGCCUGCAGUGGGUACGGGCAGACUAGAGUGCGGUAGGGGAGAUUGGAAUUCCUGGUGUAGCGGUGGAAUGCGCAGAAUAUCAGGAGGAACACCAAGUGGCGAAGGCAGAUCUCUGGGCCGUAACUGACGCUGGAGGAGCGAAAGCAUGGGGAGCGAACAGG